rnacentral:lncRNA from 1 species
UGCCGGGCCAGGCUCCGGGGCACGCCGCUGCGGCAGCCGCACCUCGCAGGUCCCCCGGCCGACCCCGACGCGGAAGCGGCGGCCCUCCUCGCCGUCGGGGAGCCAGGGAGCCGGGGACGGUACGAUCAGUCACAUAAGGCUUAGAGGAUCAAGUAUCCUGCCCAGAUGACUUACCGAAAUGUUACAGAUUAAGUUGGUGUGGUAACCUGGGCUGAGCACUCUGGGAGAGGAAGAGAAGAGAGAAGACAGGAAACAACUGAACUAUGACCAAUCCCAGCACGGAGGCCCAGAAAACUUUAAGAUUUGAGUAUUAAUGUCUCAAGGUCAGGAGCAACCUCAAGGCUAAAACUCAGAUCUCAGGACUCAGUUUCACAGAAGUUCCACUAUAAAGGCAAUAAUCUAAAGCUUUAAAUGAUAUGAAAAUUUUGUAAUAAGAGUUCAGUAUUUCUGCCAACAUUGGCGCAUGGAUUGCAAAGUUCACAGGAUUGAAAACACCAUCGACAUAAUGGAAAUUGAACAGCAUCUGAUUACUGAGUGCUAUAUCAGCAAGUUAAAAGGAUCUUUUGCAUACCUUUUAAUGGUAUAUAUCCUAAAACUGAAGUGUUCAAUAUAGACAUCCAGAUUGAAACUCAGGCAGUGAAUUACAUACACAACAAAUCAGUUGAACAUGGCAG